UACGGAGGGUGCAAGCGUUUAUCCGGAUUUACUGGGUUUAAAGGGAGCGUAGGUGGGUCGGUAAGUCAGUGGUGAAAUCUUCGAGCUUAACUCGGAAACUGCCAUUGAUACUAUCGAUCUUGAAUUAUCUGGAGGUAAGCGGAAUAUGUCAUGUAGCGGUGAAAUGCUUAGAUAUGACAUAGAACACCCAUUGCGAAGGCAGCUUACUACGGAUAUAUUGACACUGAGGCUCGAAAAGCGUGGGGGAUCAAACAGG
rnacentral:rRNA from 1 species